GAGAGAUUGUGGUGUAAUGGUUGCACUCAGGCGGUGGCACCUGAUGAUGGGGGUUCGAAUCCCUCCUUUCUCU
rnacentral:tRNA from 1 species